rnacentral:lncRNA from 1 species
AGUUCACAUAUAAUGCACAUUUACCGAGAAACAUCUUUACUUUGCAGCGGAAAGCCCUUUUCUUGUGCUACUUUCCUAUUUGUGUGUGUGCCUACUUUUCCGCGAAUGAUAGCGAAAAUGCUGCCAAUUCCUCUUGAGGAGACAAAGGCUCAAUGCUGAUAACAUCAGCCCUCACCAUUGAGACGGCUCUUCCUAGAAAGAGUAGCUACUAAACUAUAAAUGUUUUAAAGCCUCGUUGCAUGUCAGACUGUCUGCUGUUUAUGGUAACAGCUAGCUAUCUCUGCAGGUCCAUGCAGCUAACAGUGCAUGGAUCUUUCUGACAUUGUUUAGUGAUUGCUCCAAUGGCAGUAAGCAGAGCUUCCUUUGACUAUUAUAAUGUAUUCUAAAUCAUGCUGCUCAAUGAUUCUUAUAAUUGCUGCUCAUUUUUGCAUUUUAUAUUGAUGGCAAUUGUAAACCUAGCUCUUCCAUGCAAACAGUUGUGUGACUAAUAUAA